rnacentral:rRNA from 1 species
UACAGAGGGGGCAAGCGUUAUUCGGAAUUAUUGGGCGUAAAGGGCGCGUAGGCGGCUUUGCAAGUGACGGGUGAAAGCCCUCGGCUUAACCGAGGAACUGCCUGUCAGACUGUGAGGCUUGAGACCGGGAGAGGUGAGUGGAAUUCCCAGUGUAGCGGUGAAAUGCGUAGAUAUUGGGGGGAACACCAGUGGCGAAGGCGGCUCACUGGACCGGAACUGACGCUGAGGCGCGAAAGCGUGGGGAGCAAACAGG